rnacentral:lncRNA from 1 species
GAGGCACCGGCUGACCAGGAGAGCCAAAGGGCCUCUGGGAAGGGCAAGCGGAGGGGCCAGCGCUGGCCUUCUCCUGCCGCCCCUUUGCUUCACUUCGCUACCCUGACCGGCUCCAAACCUGCUCGGGUUUAUGGGCAUUCUGUUGCAACUCCCAAGACCAGGAUGGGAUUGUGUCUGUGAAGGGGGUAGAACCUGGUCAGCAACUGGAGCAGCAGGGAGAUACAUUUCCUUAUGAGCAAAGGAGAAAGUGAAACAAAACAGUGCAAAAGCGAGAGCUCCAGGGGAGAAAGAAAAUGGAAGAGAAUCCAAGCGUGGAUAUGUCUGGAGCUGGGCCAGCUCCAGAUGAGGUGGAGAGCACAGCAGAGCGCCCUGUGCACCAAGAGUCCACCCGAGAAACACUUGAGCACCAAGUGACAAGCAGGUGGCCUGAGACCUCCUGCAAACCAGAGGAGGACUCUUUAGCACGUAAGUCACCAGCUGCUGAUGGAGAAGAGACAGCACUGUCAGAGUCAGCUGGCCCCACAGAAGAGGAGAAGGUUCCCCAGGAAACUGAAAUAUCACUGGAACAAUCUGGGAAGACAAGAGAUGGUGUCUCAGAAAGACCCCAGGAAGACGACAAUUUAUAUGAAGCUAGGCUGGCCCAGGAUAAAAUGGACAGCAAAGGAGACAGCCCUGAUCACCAGGAAACACAGGAGGACCAGGAGACAAACAAGCAGUGUGAAAGCUCCUACACAGCAGAGGAAGAUGCUCCAUCAAGAAGGAAGUCACUGAGCUCUGACAGUAAAAUGACAUAUUUGGAUGUGGCUGCCACAGAAGAUGUCACCAAGGGCCUCUUGACAGAGAAGAGCACUGGUGCCCCUCUCCUAGAUCAGGAGCCAGAAGAGCACACAGAGCAAGAAACACAGGAGAGCAAAUUCCAAGGCAUGUUAAGGAACAGACAUGGGACCAAAGGUGAGCUGGUGGCUGCACACUGCUGCUCUUCCACUGUGCACAUGCCUAUGCUUUCCAUAGGCAUUAGAAAA